CCGCAUGAAAUUACAACUAAAGAUUUAUCGGUAACGGAUGGGAGUGCGUACCAUUAGAUAGUAGGCGGGGUAACGGCCCACCUAGUCUACGAUGGUUAGGGGUUCGUGAGAGGAAGGUCCCCCACCACUGGAACUGAGACACGGUCCAGACUCCUACGGGAGGCAGCAGUGAGGAAUAUUGGUCAAUGGACGGAAGUCUGAACCAGCCAAGUCGCGUGAAGGAUGAAGGUUCUAUGGAUUGUAAACUUCUUUUGUCUGAGGGUAAAAAGCGGACGUGUCCGUUCUUGCAAGUAUCAGACGAAUAAGCAUCGGCUAACUCCGUG
rnacentral:rRNA from 1 species